UGCAACGCGAAGAACUUACCUGGUCUUGACAUCCCGGAGACCCUUAGGAAACUAGGGGGUGGCUUCCAUCUGGAAGAAUCUGGAGACAGGUGCUGCAUGGCUGUCGUCAGCUCGUGUCGUGAGAUGUUGGGUUAAGUCCCGCAACGAGCGCAACCCUUGCCUUUAGUUGCCAGCAGUUCGGCUGGGCACUCUAAAGGGACUGCCGGUGUUAAACCGGAGGAAGGUGGGGAUGACGUCAAGUCCUCAUGGCCUUUAUGACCAGGGCUACACACGUACUACAAUGGCCGAUACAAAGGGCAGCGACACUGCGAGGUGAAGCCAAUCCCGUAAAAUCGGUCUCAGUCCGGAUUGGAGUCUGCAACUCGACUCCAUGAAGUUGGAAUCGCUAGUAAUCGUGGAUCAGCAUGCCACGGUGAAUACGUUCCCGGGCCUU
rnacentral:rRNA from 1 species